GCUUGGCCAUCACGGAAGUUCGGCUCUUUUUACUGACUCGGGUCUUUUCGACUCGUUUAGCCAAAAGAACGAAUCAUACUGAGGUAAAUAGUAAUAUGCUCUAAACCGCUCUGGUGACAAACAAACUUUGCUGGCCUGUUUCCAAUCAUCCACAUGGCUGGGAGAACCUAUUCAAAUACAGAGAGCUGUGAAAGACUGUCUGCAGAUGAAGAGGUCCCAAUUAAGAGCAGUGGUUCUCAGUCCUGGUCCUGGGGACUCACUUGUUUUUGCCUUAACACUAUUGUAUACAGCUGAUUCAAAGGAUCAACUCAUCAUCAAGCUUCAAGUGGUAUUUAUGUAUUCAUUUGUGAUGCUAUCCUGGAUAUGAUCCUGAUGUUGUCACAUGCUACUGUUAGGUUCUGAACAAACAGAGUAAAAACUCAAACGGACGACUUGAAAAAGCUCAAACCAAGUUUAUUCACCCACUGGGUCAUACAGCUGCAAAGAGAAGGUAUGAUUACAAAAUUAUAUAUAUUUAUAACCUCCUAAUAGGCGGGAUCAACUCGUUACACAUCUAGACAGCCAAUACAUCUCUUUUGCAAGGCCGGAACUUAAUUGGUUGCUCUCACUGGUGUAGUCAUGGCCCUGCAUGAUGCUAGAACCUUCGUGGGCGUGGAAGUGUAUGUGUGUGAGAUAGGACUGUAGUAGGAGGAUCGUCGUGGUGGGCCCCUCUGCUAGAACCUUUGUGGAAGUGUAUGUGUGUGAGAUAGGACUGUAGUAGGAGGAUCGUCGUGGUGGGCCCCUCUGCUAGAACCUUUGUGGAAGUGUAUGUGUGUGAGAUAGGACUGUAGUAGGAGGAUCGUCGUGGUGAGCCCCUCUGGACCCCCUCCCAGAGGUUUCUUCUCACUUCACCUGUUGACUUGACCUCGAGCCGAAUUCCUCGCUCUUCCCUAGAUCUGCAGCUGGCCUGCCUUAUCAGAGACUAACUAUUGCCCUUCGCCUCCCUCCUUAGAAAUAUGGAACAGAAUAUUAACUUUCUGCACUUCCCAUUAUCUCACUCAGUAACUUUCCAUACACUAUGUCCCUUCAUUGACCCCAACAUAUACAUUCCUUAUACAUGUAAAGUAGUCAAUAAGUUAUAGUAUGGUAACAUGAAUAAGUAUAUUUCAAGCUAGAAUCCAACAGUCCCUCCUUUUUUAAGGAGUGUAGUGUGUUACUAAUGGUUUUCUUUGAGACUGUGGUCCCAGCUCUCUUCAGGUCAUUGACCAGGUCCU